rnacentral:ncRNA from 2 species
UCUUAUUCUCAGGGCGGGGUGGAAAUCCCCACCGGCGGUAGCCUGACAAAGCAUCAGGAAGCCCGCGAGCGCGUUCUCAUUGGGAGACACGUUGCAGAUCUGGUCGAAAUCCAGAGCCGACGGUAAUAGUCCGGAUAAAAGAGAGUAAGA